rnacentral:lncRNA from 1 species
GAGUCCUGUUCAGCGUGGGAGGAAAUAACACAAGAGGCAAAGAUCACUCGGGACCACCUUGUAUAUUGGCUACCACAGAACCCAACACAAGCAGUAAGUUAAAAUCAUGAAGCUCCUGACGUCAGAGGACAUGGCUCUGCCAUUUGUUAGGUAGGGAUCCUGUUAAAGGCUCAGCUUCCUCAUCUGGAAAUGGAAAUAUAGGCCUUGCCUGGUUUGCUGUAAUGGGUCGUGAUGAGGACCAAACUACAAAGAGUGGUACAGAUGUUAAUUACAAUGAUUUUUCCUAUGCCACCCAUGGAAACAAAAAUAGCAAGAUAGAGAAGGCUAAAUCCCAGUUUUUUUUGACUGCUAUUCAGCAAAGCCUAGGAGACUUUCAUGACACCUGGAGAGGCGGCCGUAGUGUAUGUGUAAGAGUACCGGUUCCAGAGUGGGGCUCCCCGAGCUCAGCCCCACCACUUACCAACAGCGGACCUUGGGCCAGAUGCUGAAGCCCUUUGUGCCUUGGUUUCCUGACCUAUUACUGUGGAAAUGAUGACAGUACCCUCCUCAUGGCAUCGUGAGAAUUAAAUUAGCUAAUUCAGGUGAAGCAUUUAGAAGAGGACCUCCUGACACUUAAUAACUGCUUGAUAUAAAUAAUAGCUUCUGCUACAGAGUGGCCAUGAAGUCUGGACAUGUAGAUAUUAUAUUAUCAUGCAUCAUAAGGUAGUUGAUCUGGUGUGAGAUUCCAACCUCGUGUGAGAGAGGAGAAGACCUUCAUUACACUAAUUCAUGCUGGCCCAGCCUCCAGGCCACCCCAGAUGUGAGGUGCUGUUAACACUGCUCUCAGCACUGCAAUGAAUGCUGCUGCACACGCUGUUGAGCUCGUGGACACUUUCCUGCUGGGUGAGGACCCGAACGUGAAAUUGCUGGGUCAUGGAUUCAAGUGCUACACAUAUUUUUGACCACAUUACUGUGACUCAGGAAGCCCAGGAACAGAAUUCUAGGCACCAGAACCAUACAUGUUACAGCCUCUGAGCUUUAUGGCCUCUGAGCCAUUUGUCCAGCCACAUCAUUUGCAGAUGAGAUCCUGAGACUCAGGCUGGAAAAGUGACCGGGGAAAAGUCACACAAGUCAGAGGCAGAGCUGGAGUUUCCUCAUUUCCAGGCCCGUAUAGAUCAAGACGGACGUUGGUCAAACACCUCCUAGUACUCACAUGAAGAAGCUCUCCUUUCUGCUGUAGGAAUGAUCACACACCAUUCCAAUCUGGAUACCAAAUGUCAUUGUUUAUUAAAUGUGUGCAGUGUGCCAGGCA